rnacentral:rRNA from 1 species
GGAAUCUUCCACAAUGGGCGCAAGCCUGAUGGAGCAACACCGCGUGAGUGAAGAAGGGUUUCGGCUCGUAAAGCUCUGUUGUUAAAGAAGAACACGUAUGAGAGUAACUGUUCAUACGUUGACGGUAUUUAACCAGAAAGCCACGGCUAACUACGUGCCAG